GUACACUCCUACGGGAGGCAGCAGUGGGGAAUUUUGGACAAUGGGCGAAAGCCUGAUCCAGCAAUGCCGCGUGUGUGAAGAAGGCCUUCGGGUUGUAAAGCACUUUUGUCCGGAAAGAAAUCCUUGGCUCUAAUACAGUCGGGGGAUGACGGUACCGGAAGAAUAAGCACCGGCUAACUACGUGCCAGCAGCCGCGGUAAUACGUAGGGUGCGAGCGUUAAUCGGAAUUACUGGGCGUAAAGCGUGCGCAGGCGGUUUGCUAAGACCGAUGUGAAAUCCCCGGGCUCAACCUGGGAACUGCAUUGGUGACUGGCAGGCUAGAGUAUGGCAGAGGGGGGUAGAAUUCCACGUGUAGCAGUGAAAUGCGUAGAGAUGUGGAGGAAUACCGAUGGCGAAGGCAGCCCCCUGGGCCAAUACUGACGCUCAUGCACGAAAGCGUGGGGAGCAAACAGGAUUAGAAACCCCUGUAGUCCCAUG
rnacentral:rRNA from 1 species